AAAAAGCAGUUUUGUGCGUUUAUUUAACAAUGAUGACAGCAACUUCCAUGAUCCCACGCAACUUAAGGAUGUAAUCAAUCCAUAUUUUGUGAUUGUUUUGAUUGAAAGACAGCUAGCAGUUGGAAUUAUAUUGCAUUAAACGUCUUUGGGGAACAAGGACAAAAAAGCGAGACUCACUCGUGAAUCACUCCAGAGUCAGUGGUGUGGAAAUGGACAUUAUACUGAAUUUAUUUACACAGCGGAGCAGAUGGAUCUUUCUGCCACUGAGCUGAAUAAAGGCCAACAUCUGAAACUUUACGGUAAUUAUAGUAUGAUUUAAUGUUCCGGGGCUCACAGGGUUUAUUUGUGUCACUAGAAUACACCACAGAUGAUAAAGAACCAACAGAGUUAGUAUUAUUAGUUAAAGCUGCGGCAGGGCGGUACCUCCUUCCCAACUGGACCGUCUGGUUUUCCUUCACUACCUUGUCCCACCUCUGUUGUCUGACAAACACGCUCACAGUCAAUCCCUCGACUUCCGAAAGGAUUUUUCUAAGGAUUUCUGUCAUCUGAUGAAUCUUGUAAAGCCCGAAAAAUACAGUUUUAUUAAGCUAAUGGCACUAAAAUGACACUUUUAGAUCAUGAUCUGUCACAACUGACGCGGCAAAUUCACCAAAGUGGUUAAAAGAGAGUCACACUGAGUUCAUGUGCAACUCACUCAAGAAGAAAAUACAGGGUUGUCCCCUACUGCCCCCUGGCUGCUAGAGCUGAUACUGUCAGUUUGUCGUCCUGAGGGCAGCAGCAACAUGUUUUUAUAUCCAAAAUACUUUUCAUCUUCACUGUAAACUUGUAACUGUUAAACAGAAAAGAAAAAAAAACACUUUAGCUGUUUCUGCAACAUCUGCUUGAUUACAGCUGCCACUGGUCACAUUUUGUACCUACUGACAGACGAACUUUGUAUGAUCCCAAUGUGACUGUGCCUCCUGUUUUUACACUGUAUCUAUUUAUGUAAACAAGCAUGUGUGUAUGUCUGUAUGUAUGUUUGCCAUUCCAGUUCACAUGACCAGCCCCCCCCCCCCCCCCCUCCUCCUCCUCCUCAUCACCGCCAUCUGUCACGCUGUUGCCAGGUUACACUCCUCUGUCAGGGUAAGGUUUCUGUUGGACAGCUCUACGAUGAUGACGUGACAUCGCAGUUCUCCUACAUAUCCCAGAGUGCUUUUCACUUCUCAGAAGGAGCAUGACGUUUUUACUUUAAGUAAAAAAAGGUGGCUGGACAGCAUUAGCAUGACAGGGCGAGAGAGAGGGGAUGACUUGCAGCAAAGGGCCUUAGCACCACGGACACCCGAUCUACCAGACGCUGAGAAAAACAAUCUGGGCCCGACAUUUGGAAAAACAAGUAUUGUGAGAGGACAUAAUUUAAUGGUGCUCAGUUGCCCGCCGGGAUUUAAUUCAGCCUGUUUCCCCGCUGCUGGCUACAGCACUGUCUCUCUCUCUGUCAGUACUGGACCAA